UGAAUUUCAUCUUUUGCAACCAGGGUUGUUAAUGGCAGAUCUCAGCAGUGGGUGGGCACCCAGGGUCUGAGUACAGCAAGGGAUGGCUUCCCGGGGUGCUGGCCAGGACAAAAGGCUGUGAAGGGGAGUCUGAGUUCCAGUGUUCACACACACACACACACACACACACACGUACGUGCAUGCUCAGGUGUGCUCUUCACACUUUGUUUUGAAGACUAGUUGAGUGAAUAGUCACACAAUAGGCCAGGGACCUGCUCUUUAGAGGUACAGCUGUGGUCUGGAUCGCACAUGUCCUCCAAAGGCCACAUGACGAAGGCUUGGUCCCACAGGUGGCACCAUUGGGAGUUGGACCUUCAGGAGGUGGGACUGGUGGGAGAAAGUGUGGUCACUGUGGGGGUGCCCUUGAGGAACAUUGGGGUCCCAGCCUUAUCUCUGUUUCUUGGACACCUCUGUCACCUGCUUCUGCUAUAAUCUGCUGUGCUGCCACAGACCCAGAGCAACGUGGCCAAGUGACCAUGGACUGAAACCUCUGAAACUGAGCCAAAGUAAACCUGUCCUCUCAAGCUGAGGGUCCUAGGUGUUUUGUCACAGCAGCAGAAAGCAGACUCACAAAGGUCCCUCGUGGCCAGAGAUCAGGAAGAGCAAAUGCACCUCCACAUAGACAUGUUCUGUGGAGCCCUGACUGAAGUAGGACCUGCCUGAAUCGGCUGGAGCGCACCCGCACAUGACGUCCUUGGGGUCUGUGACACCCAGUGGAUGGCUGUCACAAUUCCAAUAAGGUCUUUUGGUUUCACAAGGGAAACACAUCCUGGAUGCUACCAGAACAGAGAGCAAGGUGGGAAUGA
rnacentral:lncRNA from 1 species